rnacentral:rRNA from 1 species
CGGGGUGAGUAACGCGUGGAUAACCUGCCGUAGUGCAGGGGGAGUACCAACUGGAAACAGUUGCUAAUACCGCAUAAGCGCACAGUGUCGCAUGACACGGUGUGAAAAGAAUUAUCGGCAUACGAUGGAUCCGCGUCCGAUUAGCCAGUUGGCGGGGUAACGGCCCACCAAAGCGACGAUCGGUAGCCGGCCUGAGAGGGCGGACGGCCACAUUGGGACUGAGACACGGCCCAAACUCCUACGGAAGGCAGCAG